AGGUGACUGAUGCCCGGUGAGAGGUUGAACGUGACACAUACCCCCGUCAGCUGCAAGAAAGGAACCACAAGACAGGUGACUGAUGCCCGGUGAGAGGUUGAACGUGACACAUACCCCCGUCAGCUGCAAGAAAGGAACCACGAGACAGGUGACUGAUGCCCGGUGAGAGGUUGAACGUGACACAUACCCCCGUCAGCUGCAAGAAAGGAACCACGAGACAGGGUACAGACAGUGCAGGACACGGCGGACGGUAUACAAAGGGAUGUUCUUUCGGGGCUACUGUGCCGUUUCGCACGAUAUGCUUCAACUGGCCCACAUCGUCAUUCAGCCCGAAACACAUUUAAAUAACCCUCCCCUUUGUUGCCAUAGAAACCAUCCAAACAACAGCGGGCACCCACGUGGCAUCCACGGACACAUCGUCAUCAUCAACACCUUCACCGCUAUCUGACACCUCAAGAAAGGAAGCAGCAGCGGGUACAACAUCAUCAUCACACCUGUUUGGAGCUAUCUCUACCAGCCACUAGUACAGUAUCAGAGGGAGAGCACACAAAGAGCAGAAGAUGAGGAAGGGGCCAAGAUUACACAGGAGAGGUGACUGAUGCCCGGUGAGAAGUUGAACGUGACACAGCUGCAAGAAAGGAACCGCGAGACAGGUGACUGAUGCCCGGUGAGAGGUUGAACGUGACACAUACCCCCGUCAGCUGCAAGAAAGGAACCACGAGACAGGUGACUGAUGCCCGGUGAGAGGUUGAACGUGACACAUACCCCGUCAGCUGCAAGAAAGGAACCACGAGACAGGUGACUGAUGCCCGGUGAGAGGUUGAACGUGACACAUACCCCCGUCAGCUGCAAGAAAGGAACCACGAGACAGGUGACUGAUGCCCGGUGAGAGGUUGAACGUGACACAUACCCCCGUCAGCUGCAAGAAAGGAACCACGAGACAGGUGACUGAUGGCCGUUGAAAAGUUGAACGUGACACAUACCCCUGUCAGCUGCAAGAAAGGAACCGCGAGACAGGUGACUGAUGCCCGUUGAAAAGUUGAACGUGACACAUACCCCCGUCAGCUGCAAGAAAGGAACCGCGAGACAGGAAGGGUACAGACAGUGCAGGACACGGCGGACGGUAUACAAAGGGAUGUUCUUUCGGGGCUACUGUGCCGUUUCGCAAGAUAUGCUUCAACUGGCCCACAUCGUCAUUCAGCCCGAAACACAUUUAAAUAACCCUCCCCUUUGUUGCCAUAGAAACCAUCCAAACAACAGUUUUUCCAGCAUAUCCGUGUUCGAUCCUCUCAAGACCGGCAAACCGGAAUCCAUGUUUUUCUUUAGAAUGAACUUCAUUGAUGUGCUGUAUAAAUCUAGUGGCUCCGAUGCCGGUCCUGAGGGAUCAAACAUGCUCAUGGAUUCUGUGGAAUAGGGGCCUU